GAGAGACUGAGAGCAAGCAGGGAAGGGGCAGAGAGAGAGAGGGAGACACAGAAUCGGAAGCAGGCUCCAGGCUCUGAGCGCUCAGGACAGAGCCCAAGGUGGGGCUCAAACUCACAGACAGCGAGAUCAUGACCUGAGCUGGAGUCAGCUGCCCAACCGACUGAGCCACCCAGGCACCCCUGAUGUAUUUAAUUUUAAAGUGUGUUUCCUGUGGCAAAGAUCCUGGAAUUAAAGAGUGACGUUUACUCUCUCAUCCACACCAGAGUUCCUCAAAUAUCCAGCUCUCCUAUCUCUCAUUGGUCUCUUCUUCUCCCACUGGCACAGCGAUCCUUUCAUCCCGGGAAGCUAUCCGCUCAGAUGAAUCGU